UUUUUAGGCUUACACAUUAAAAUAACAUAUAAAUAUCAUACAUAAUUAGAGCCUUCGGAUUUAAGUGAAAUUAAUAUUUAAAAAAACGAUAAUUGUAGGCUAUUUUAGGUAUUUUAUAUGCAUCUUGGUAUAACACAAACCUUUUUUUUUUUUUUUUUUUUUUGGUUUUUAUACAUUUUAUAAUUUUCAUAAAAUUAUGGUAUAAAAUGAACUGAAUUAGAAAUCAGGAAUUAGAAAUGUAUUUUUAAAGUUGUUAACCCUACAAGUGAGAAUAUUCGGCAUCAUCAUCAUUUGCAUACUGAAUUGUAAUUGGUCUUUAUCACAGCUCUUGUUUACAAGCUUCUUCCUCGCUCUUUGUUUGUAUACAGCUAUUCAAACUUCCAUUUUAACAUAAAGACUGCAGUUUGUCUGCAUUGCAAAAACUGGUAUUCCAAUCAGGAAAUACAAAACUAGCCUUUGGCUGAGAGUCACUCCCUAAACUUCACUAUAAACUCGGGACUCCACCCUGAUUUAGAUACGACAGGUGUGUGCACAGUUUUUUGUAGGAGACUCAAAAAUGAAUGCGACUGAAUUUCAGCUGUCUCUGGCUGAGUAUGAUUUCGAGCGUCACUUUGAUGAGAGGUUCGCCAUCGAGUGGAUGCAGGGCAACUGG